rnacentral:rRNA from 1 species
GGCCUAACACAUGCAAGUCGAGCGGAAACGACACUAACAAUCCUUCGGGUGCGUUAAUGGGCGUCGAGCGGCGGACGGGUGAGUAAUGCCUAGGAAAUUGCCUUGAUGUGGGGGAUAACCAUUGGAAACGAUGGCUAAUACCGCAUGAUGCCUACGGGCCAAAGAGGGGGACCUUCGGGCCUCUCGCGUCAAGAUAUGCCUAGGUGGGAUUAGCUAGUUGGUGAGGUAAUGGCUCACCAAGGCGACGAUCCCUAGCUGGUCUGAGAGGAUGAUCAGCCACACUGGAACUGAGACACGGUCCAGACUCCUACGGGAGGCAGCAGUGGGGAAUAUUGCACAAUGGGCGAAAGCCUGAUGCAGCCAUGCCGCGUGUAUGAAGAAGGCCUUCGGGUUGUAAAGUACUUUCAGUUGUGAGGAAGGGUGUGUAGUUAAUAGCUGCGCAUCUUGACGUUAGCAACAGAAGAAGCACCGGCUAACUCCGUGCCAGCAGCCGCGGUAAUACGGAGGGUGCGAGCGUUAAUCGGAAUUACUGGGCGUAAAGCGCAUGCAGGUGGUUCAUUAAGUCAGAUGUGAAAGCCCGGGGCUCAACCUCGGAACUGCAUUUGAAACUGGUGAACUAGAGUACUGUAGAGGGGGGUAGAAUUUCAGGUGUAGCGGUGAAAUGCGUAGAGAUCUGAAGGAAUACCAGUGGCGAAGGCGGCCCCCUGGACAGAUACUGACACUCAGAUGCGAAAGCGUGGGGAGCAAACAGGAUUAGAUA